GCGUCCAUAGCUCAGCGGUUAGAGCACCGACCUUAUAAGUCGGGGGUCCCUGGUUCAAAUCCAGGUGGACGCA
rnacentral:tRNA from 1 species